UGGCUCAGUUGGUAGAGCAUGGUGUUUGCAACGCCAGCAUGGUGUGUGCAACACCAGGGUUGUGGGUUCGAUUCCCAU
rnacentral:tRNA from 1 species